rnacentral:misc_RNA from 1 species
UCCGCGUUAACCGCGGCAGUCUCGUUAGAGUGCUCAACUUAAUGGUAGCAACUAACGACAAGGGUUGCGCUCGUUGCGGGACUUAACCCAACAUCUCACGACACGAGCUGACGACAACCAUGCACCACCUGUCUCUAAGUUCCCCGAAGGGCACUCCUCUAUCUCUAAAGGAUUCUUAGGAUGUCAAGCCCUGGUAAGGUUCUUCGCGUUGCUUCGAAUUAAACCACAUGCUCCGCUGCUUGUGCGGGCCCCCGUCAAUUCCUUUGAGUUUUAAUCUUGCGAUCGUACUUCCCAGGCGGAGUACUUAAUGUGUUAACUGCGGCACAGAGGUUGGACCCCCUACACCUAGUACUCAUCGUUUACGGCGUGGACUAC